rnacentral:lncRNA from 1 species
UUUCAGGAUACCGUUCGACAAGCUGAAGAUCUGAAGACUAGACAGCGGGAGAAAGAUAUUUCAUCAGAAUAACACUGGGGCUGGGGCAAAACCAAGUGUCAGAGCCAGUUCUUUGGGCACCAGUUGAGCCCACUCGCAUGCCCCACCACGUAGGAGUGACUGAGGGACAUUGUAUGAAAUGGCUUUCUAUGAAAUGCUGGAUCAGCAGAGAAGGAGCCACCCGGAGAUAUUUGGUGUUUCGGGGAAGCACGAGAAAGCCAGAUACCACUUCUGUUUCCUGAGACACCUGCCUGUACCUCAGCCUCUGUCUGUGCUGGAAACACUUCCCUGCUAUUGGAAACCUGCCCCAAUCUGCUGGCAACGUGCGCACGCUGAUGCGAGGGCCUCUUUGUGCCACUGCAGUAAGCCCACCUCCAGAAUUACCACAAAGAAUGCAACUGCCACCGAUACAAAAGCCUCCCUGAGCUUUGGGUGUCCUCCCCCUCUGUGGAGAGCCUCUGUCCCCAAAACAUGUCAGCUGGGGACUCUCCCUUUCAUCACCAGCCUCUGUGGCUUUCAGCAUCAAAAGGAAGAUCUGCAUUCAUCUGCUUCUGAGACGUGCUUCCCAACCCUGGUACGGAAAGCAUUGCAAUGGCAUAGCACAGUCACGACAUGAGGGGUGAGCGUCAAACCCCAGACACUGGAUUCCUGGGAUUAGUCAAUUCUGGUAGCCUUAAUAUUUAAUGAAGAGUAACUAGUUGGCUUUCUUAUUGCAGAGAUAAGUUGAAAAAUGCAAAUUGUGUGUAUUGAAAAGGCCCAGAAAGCUGGAGGCAAAUAAAUAGAUUAUUUUUAUUUUAAACCUCA